rnacentral:rRNA from 1 species
CCAGGUUGGACAUGCUCGUGGUACGGACCUGAAAGGGCGAGGACCUCGAAAGGGGAGCGAGCUCAGGUGCUGCAUGGCUGUCGUCAGCUCGUGCCGUGAGGUGUUGGGUUAAGUCCCGCAACGAGCGUAACCCCUGUCUUCAGUUGCCAUCGGGUCAUGCCGAGCACUCUGAAGAGACUGCCCAGGAUAACGGGGAGGAAGGUGGGGAUGACGUCAAGUCAGCAUGGCCUUUAUGCCUGGGGCUACACACGUGCUACAAUGACCGGUACAGAGGGUUGCAAUCCUGUAAGGGGGAGCCAAUCUCAAAAAACCGGCCUCAGUUCAGAUUGGGGUCUGCAACUCGACCCCAUGAAGGUGGAAUCGCUAGUAAUCGCGGAUCAGCACGCCGCGGUGAAUACGUUCCC